rnacentral:scRNA from 1 species
GCUGUCGAGAAGGCGAUACUUGACCUCUAUGC